rnacentral:rRNA from 1 species
UACGAAGGGGGCUAGCGUUGCUCGGAUUGACUGGGCGUAAAGGGCGCGUAGGCGGUUUGUACAGUCAGACGUGAAAUUCCUGGGCUCAACCUGGGGGCUGCGUUUGAUACGUAUGGACUUGAGUUCGGAAGAGGGUCGUGGAAUUCCCAGUGUAGAGGUGAAAUUCGUAGAUAUUGGGAAGAACACCGGUGGCGAAGGCGGCGACCUGGUCCGAUACUGACGCUGAGGAGCGAAAGCGUGGGGAGCGAACAGG